GCUGAAACCUUAUGCUGCAGCUUGCUGCGAAUGGAGAGGUCACUGGUAGAGCGGGGUGGCACUGUGAAUGGGGAACAAGUGAGCCCAAGGAGUAGAAGGCUUUGGCCCAGAUAUCCCCUUGAGAAGACAUCCCUAGACUGGAUUAGAGAUACUGGUGUGACCUCACCUUGCAGCCACCAAAGAAGGAAUUGGGUGGACUAAAUGGACAGUGUUCCUCUCUAUCUGAAGUCUAGCAAGGGAGGUUUCCAUCACAGCCUCCAGAAGCAGAGGAUGCUGGAAGAUACCACUGGUACAACGCCCAGUAAUGGAAGUCCUGCCUGCAAUAUUGAACAAUGGAAGAUUGGAUUCAUAUCAAAUAAUUUUAGUGCUUCCUGUCCAUUGUUUUAAAGAGAACACAGUACACCAAGUCAAAUGGAAUGGCAGAAAGAAGGUUGCCACACAGACCUGCAUAUAUGAUAAAUCUAUAUGAAACUAGAAAGUGAUUGCUCCUAAAGGAACACAGAUUAAAAACUAACAGCUCCCUUGAGGGACUUUUAACAAUCCAGAGACGUAACGAGGCUGGCCAUAUAGCGUUUGCAGGCUGUCCUGUAACAACCAUCUCUUGCUUCUGGGCAUGGCAAAGUCCUGAGAUAGAAAGAUGUUCUAGUCAAUUCUGUUGAGGUCAACGGUUACCUUGUAUAACUUCUUCAAGGGAAGCCAAACCCAUCAUUUCUAACAUACCUUGAGCUCUUGUUUGAGAUGUGGGGGCAUUAGAAAUUCACGCCCCAACCCAGACAAAUUUAUUUACAUUGUCAUCAAACUCGAGGCUUAGGACCUUCUCUAUUAUUUCUGACUUAACUGGAAAUGCAUUUCAAACUACUUCCAUUUUUACAGGACCACUCUGCACUUACCUUUCAGAAACAGAAAGGAUAUCCUUCUCAGGCUGGACUUCUAGCUCAAACAGCAGCCACUCUCGGAAAGAUAACUGGGAAAGACGCAGAGAUUCAGCACCAAAAAGCAAAAAUCAGCAAGGAAACAUUACUUCUACAACUGGGUUACCAAAAGGAGCUCAGCCCCACACUCCCCCCAGCCCACACACCAAUUGGAAUUAUCAGUUCCCAUUUAGUCUCAAGAACAUUUCUGUUCCUGGAGCAUUCUCUUAGCAAACCAAGCCACCACUAGUUUCAAAGACUACUAAAAGCACACAUAUCUCUAAUACUUCUAAUGUGCCCAUGUUCUCAAUAUCUAGACACCAGUGUGGAACAUAUGACAAUAUAAAUCAAAGGAGAAAACAAUAAUUAAAAAACACAUACCCUGGAACUAAGGCAGCCUAAUCAAACACAUUCCAUUCAAAGAAAAAGUCAAAAUAUUAUACCUGGAAAUGUACUUUACUGUAUUGACCAUUUUAACUAAUAGAAUAUGUGAAAUAAACCUAACAAUACUCUA